AUUGAACGCUGGCGGCAUGCUUUACACAUGCAAGUCGAACGGCAGCGCGGGGGCAACCCUGGCGGCGAGUGGCGAACGGGUGAGUAAUGCAUCGGAACGUAUCCUGUAAUGGGGGAUAACGUAGCGAAAGUUACGCUAAUACCGCAUACGCUCGAGAGAGGAAAGUGGGGGAUCGCAAGACCUCACGUUAUAGGAGCGGCCGAUGUCCGAUUAGCUAGUUGGUGGGGUAAAGGCCUACCCAGGCGACGAUCGGUAGCUGGUCUGAGAGGAUGAUCAGCCACACUGGGACUGAGACACGGCCCAGACUCGUACGGGAGGCAGCAGUGGGGAAUUUUGGACAAUGGGCGAAAGCCUGAUCCAGCCAUGCCGCGUGCGGGAAGAAGGCCUUCGGGUUGUAAACCGCUUUAGUCCGGGAAAAAGGGGUGCGAGGAUAAUACCCUUGUGCUUUGAUGGUACUGGAAGAAUAAGCACCGGCUAACUACGUGCCAGCAGCCGCGGUAAUACGUAGGGUGCGAGCGUUAAUCGGAAUUACUGGGCGUAAAGCGUGCGCAGGCGCUCUUGUAAGACAGUCGUGAAAGCCCCGGGCUUAACCUGGGAACUGCGAUUGUGACUGCAAGGCUAGAGUGUGUCAGAGGGGGGUGGAAUUCCACGUGUAGCAGUGAAAUGCGUAGAGAUGUGGAGGAACACCGAUGGCGAAGGCAGCCCCCUGGGAUAACACUGACGCUCAUGCACGAAAGCGUGGGGAGC
rnacentral:rRNA from 1 species